rnacentral:lncRNA from 1 species
AUUUGCCGUUUCGGCUAGCACAAUAGUGUAUUCCAUCGCUCCCCUUUCCUGUAAAGUAGUUACGACCUGGGCCACAGAAGAUGCUUUUUGCCCAAUAGCUACAUAAACACAUAUUACAUUUUGACCUUGUUGAUUGAGGAUCGUAUCUGUGGCUACUGUUGUUUUACCGGUCUGUCUGUCCCCAAUAUUUAAUUCUCGCUGACCACGUCCUAUAGGGAUCAUCGAAUCAAUAUCAAUAAGCCCGGUUUGAAGAGGCUCAUAUACGGAACGACACGAAAUAAUACCCGGGGCAGCAAAUUCGAUUAAUCGAAAUUCAGAAGCUGAAAUUUCACCUCUACCAUCAAUAGGUUUAGCCAGGGCAUUUAUA